AUUGAACGCUGGCGGCAGGCCUAACACAUGCAAGUCGAGCGGAUGAAGGGAGCUUGCUCCUGGAUUCAGCGGCGGACGGGUGAGUAAUGCCUAGGAAUCUGCCUGGUCGUGGGGGAUAACGUCCGGAAACGGGCGCUAAUACCGCAUACGUCCUGAGGGAGAAAGUGGGGGAUCUUCGGACCUCACGCUAUCAGAUGAGCCUAGGUCGGAUUAGCUAGUUGGUGGGGUAAAGGCCUACCAAGGCGACGAUCCGUAACUGGUCUGAGAGGAUGAUCAGUCACACUGGAACUGAGACACGGUCCAGACUCCUACGGGAGGCAGCAGUGGGGAAUAUUGGACAAUGGGCGAAAGCCUGAUCCAGCCAUGCCGCGUGUGUGAAGAAGGUCUUCGGAUUGUAAAGCACUUUAAGUUGGGAGGAAGGGAAGUAAGUUAAUACCUUGCUGUUUUGACGUUACCAACAGAAUAAGCACCGGCUAACUUCGUG
rnacentral:rRNA from 1 species